AUGCUCGCCACCACAGAAUACUGGGAUAUCAUGGGUAAGCAUAAACAGAACACCCCGAAAGAGAAGACGAAAUGGCGGGCGCCAGAAGUGGACGUACUGAAGUUUAACAUUGACGGUGCACAUAUGUCGGGAAGCUCUCAGUCCGCAUGGGGAGUGAUUGCCCGUGAUCAUACUGGGGAUGCAGUUGCCUGCAUGGCGGGCAAGUGCGAGCAUAUCUACGAUGCUUUUGCAGCAGAGCUACAAGCGGCGGCCGGCGUGAUGGAGCUGGCAAACCAUCUAGGGGCGAUCCGAAUUUGCCUUGAGACCGAUUCACAGCUGCUGCAGGCGGCGCUCAUGCAGAAGGAGCCAAGCUUCUUGGCGUAUGCUUCUGUCCUGGAUGACCUGAAGGUCCAAAUGAGACUAUGGUUUUCAAAAUGCAAUGUUGUGGCAUGUAGGAGGGAGGCCAAUGGUGCAGCACAUGAGCUCGCUAAGCUAGGCUAUGAAUGUAAUGUGAAUGAACCCACUAUAUGGGAUGUUAGUGUUCCGCCG
rnacentral:rRNA from 1 species